GCUAAAACUGGAGAUACAGACAAAGAAAGAAGCAUUCGGAGCUUCAGACGCCUGCAGAGAAGAUGGAGAUGAAGAUGAGCUGUGUGUGUUUGGUGUUGGGGCUGGUCCUGCUGAUGACCAUCUCCUCAGAUGCUGACCCUGCUGCUCUUGGCCAUCCUGAUCAGUGCUGUUUCAAUUUUGUCCAUUUUAAAAUUCCAGAAAAAAAUAUCAUAAAAGUGGAAAAAACACAUUCCAGCUGCCCAAAGUCAGCCUAUGUGAUUACAACACAGAGGGGCAAAUUCUGCAAGGAGGAAAUAUUCCUGAAGGAAAACUAGAUUUCAGAGCUGCAGCUUCAACACAGCCCAGACGCAGCACACAGAGCAGCUGAAAGCUGUACACACCCCUUUUAAUCAUCACAGGAUUUAUCAAUCAGUGCUUUGCUUUUUCACUCAGUUGAGCAAUUUAACUUUUUAUCAGCCUUUAUCUUGUUUAACUGUGGAAAUCAAACAGUUUAUUACAAAAAUCUCUGCAGAGAAAAAUAACAUCAUGAACACAAAUUAGAUUUCAGUGCUCCAGCUUCUAUACAAUAACCAAUGUAUUGCUUCUUUACAGUAUUUUUAAUGCUUAUGUUAUGCUGUGAAUUCAAAAUAAAACAAUGCAUUGCAUAAA